UGGUACUGUUGGAGCAGCGGCUUGUG
rnacentral:piRNA from 1 species